rnacentral:rRNA from 1 species
ACGUGACUAACCUACCCUCGAGCGGGGAAUAACCUGGGGAAACUCGGGCUAAUACCGCAUAACACCUACGGGUCAAAGGAGCAAUCCACUUGAGGAGGGGGUCGCGGCAGAUUAGCUAGUUGGCAGGGUAAGUGGCCUACCAAGGCGAUGAUCUGUAUCCGGCCUGAGAGGGCGCACGGACACACUGGAACUGAAACACGGUCCAGACUCCUACGGGAGGCAGCAGUGGGGAAUUUUUGGCGCAAUGGGGGGAAACCCUGACGCAGCAACGCCGCGUGGAGGAUGAAGUCCCUUGGGACG